GGGGGGGCUCAGGGUAAAGACCCUCCAGGGAAGGUGUCCUGCUUCUGGCUACUAUCCCGUGUCUGGUCAUGGGAACCUUACCCUGUGAGUUUACCAGGAGCCUGACAGCAAGAUCAGUUUCUGCAGUGUGAUGGCCCAAGCACAGACCUGAUCUGGGAACGCAAAACUCCAGUUGCAGGAAACAUCCACAGAGAAUGAGUCUAGGCACCCACCUGUGCACCUGAGCUCCUCCAGCCAAGGGAGGAGCCAGAAGCAGCCACAGCAAGAUAUUGCUGGAUCCCAGCUUUGUUCCUCCGCUGCCCAGGAGUCUCAGGCACAGCUCAGCUGGCAGGAAAGGCCGACUCCUUCCCUGCUUCCCGCUCUGCCUCUGCCAGGCUCUGGGUAGGAGAAAAAAUGCCAGCUCUUUCUUGAGAGGCAGAGUUUCCAUCCCCCAUUUUCACAACCAAUUACACGGAGGCAGAGU
rnacentral:lncRNA from 1 species